rnacentral:lncRNA from 1 species
CCUCGCGGUCCGCCCCGGCCCAGCGGUCCCAGCCGCGUCGGCAGGGCAGUGGGGCACCCGCUCUGAGCGCCCCACAACGACCUCCAGCGCGCGCGGACAGCCGACGCACCGCGGGCCGCUGCCACUGCCGCUGAGGACCAGUGGACUGCACCACCCUCCACGCGCCUGUCCAGCCCGCCAGCCAAUCGCAACGCCUCCUCACGCACGUGACAUACACCGACCAAUGGAUGCCCGAGGUGCCCAUGAGGCACAGGCGGCCCUCGGGGCUUUCAGAUGGGCGCGGGCUGUCGAGGGACCGCACAAGGACCGCGAGGGGACUGAGAAGCUGUGAGGCUCGCGUGGAGGCCUACUCCCCGUGGUCCCAGGAUGGAGACUGCCUGGAAAGGAGGAGGCGGAGUAAGCAGCGUCCUGCAGCCUCGGGGCCAGUGCCACGCGAGCGUGCCUGUCACCCAGCAGCUUCCCACUCUUCCCCGCCUGGUGCUCUCAGACCAGCUCUUCGAACCUCCUGGUUUUCAGCUGGCCCCAGCCUAACGCUGUUAUUCAUUGAAAAAAUGCAUACUGAAUACCUACUAUGACUCAGAAUUGGACUGGCCUCCAGGUUUGACCUGUAAGUAGUAUCAACAUGA